AACGAACGCUGGCGGCAGGCUUAACACAUGCAAGUCGAACGCGCCCUUCGGGGCGAGUGGCAGACGGGUGAGUAACGCGUGGGAACCUACCUUUUGGUACGGAAUAACUCAGGGAAACUUGAGCUAAUACCGUAUGUGCCCUUACUUUUAAUCGGGUUUGGGGAAAGAUUCAUCGCCAAAGGAUGGGCCCGCGUCGGAUUAGCUAGUUGGUGGGGUGAUGGCCUACCAAGGCGACGAUCCGUAGCUGGUCUGAGAGGAUGAUCAGCCACACUGGGACUGAGACACGGCCCAGACUCCUACGGGAGGCAGCAGUGGGGAAUAUUGGACAAUGGGGGCAACCCUGAUCCAGCCAUGCCGCGUGAGUGAUGAAGGCCUUAGGGUUGUAAAGCUCUUUCACCGGUGAAGAUAAUGACGGUAACCGGAGAAGAAGCCCCGGCUAACUUCGUGCCAGCCGCCGCGGUAAGAC
rnacentral:rRNA from 1 species